UCUCCACGUUACCUGAAAGCACACCAACAGAUCCACACCAGAAAGACUCUACAAGUGCAGUUACUGUGAGAAGCAGAGCGACACAGAUGGAUCAAGUUCUCAACCCUGUCAUCGCUGUGGGAAAGACUUUUGUUGUGACCUUUGUGGAAAAAGUUGAAGUCAUUGAAGGACUCUGAAAAUACAUCAACGUAGACACACUGGAAACAAAAUGUACUGUAAAGAAUGCGGGAGAGGCUUCACCACUUCAAAGGACUUCAAACAAUAUGAACUCCUUCACAGUGGCGUUAAAAAGCAUGUCUGCGAUCAGUGUGGGUCAUCCUUCAUCAGUGCACGUCAGCUUGAAAAGCAUAAACGAGUCCACACAUGAGAGAAACCAUACAAGUGCAGACACUGUGACAAAACCUUUUCACAAUCAUGUGAUCAUACUAAGCAUGAACGCAGACACAUGAAAGAGAACUUCAUCUGUGAAAGAGUUUGAGUAAUCUCAGUUCAUACUCCACUCAGAAACGAUUCCAUGUUACAAAUAAACUGUUACGUCUUGAUUCCUGCUUUUACGUUAAUCUUGUAAACAGUACAUUUGCAUAACGACUGAAACCGGCUCAAUGAAUGAACAAUGGGCUGUGAGGUCAGUUUCUAAUAUGCAAAUUCUUAUGAGCAUUGAUCAACAACCACUGGUCAAUGGCCAUGAGUACCAUUCAGAGAGUAAAAAUUUGCAUAAUGAUUAUGAAGUUUACUGUUACCAAUGUUCAAAAGUAUUUACUAAGUUAUCUUCUCUGUGCAAACAUCAGCGUGAUGCAGGACUGAAAUCAUUGCCAUCUCUGGAUCACAGUGAAUCUGCAGAGACAGAAAGAUCCUCUUCUGGUUUCAGGGUCAGACUUAAACCCCUGAGAUCAGGCUCCACAGAGUUCAGGUGGAGUCUUCUGUAAAGAUCUGAUGAGGCAGCUAUGAAUGAAAAUGUGCCUCUUGUUACAUUUUAAGCUUUCUAAACUGUUCUACUGUAGUGUUUGUGUUGAGUGGUUCGCUUUGUUCCAGCAGUUUGAUUAAGAAAUCUGUUUCCUGUUAUGUUGUUAUUGAAUGCAUUGAUCCAUGUGUUCUGCAGUUUUUUUUCAGCUUGUUUGUGUAAUGAAAUCCUGCAACAAUUAAACCAAAAUUUUAUAUGUUAAAUAAAGAAAUGGUUUACUGACAAAGAGUUUGAGCCGUGAUGUCAUUUCCUGUAUAUCAGAGCAACACCUGAAGUGACCAGUGUUUAAAGUCAGUCAAAUUUUGUGUCAGCGAUGCUUCACUACGUUAUCUGCUAACUGUUAGGGUGUAGAAGGACGAAACUCCCAGGGUGACCAGUGGCAGGAGCUUCCUGAUGCAGAGAGUUGAGUGUGGGGGAUAUAAAAGAGAAGCUGAGGCAUCCCAAGGUUAAAGCUGGCAUAACUGAACUUUAAUGUUUGAUGUGUGUUUUGGCUCUCCUGCACGCAGUAAUUAAUAGCUUGAACACAGCAGAGCUUGAUAUAAAGACCUGGGUGACAACUAACUUUAUGCUGCUGAUUAUACUUGGCCCUAAAAUACCUAGAAAUAUGGUAUCUAACCAGAUACUUGCUCUGGAUGGCAUUACCUUGGCCUCCAGUAACACCUUGGAGUAAUAUUUGACCAGGACAUUAAACAAAUAUUUAGGGCUGUGUGAUGAACCAAGUUGAAAAAGCAGAAGGAGUCACAAGAAUUAUUAGAAAAACAAAGUUUUCAUUCAUUUAACCCAAAUAUUAUAUUUACAAAAGUAAUUAAUGUUAAGCUCAUAAAAAAUGUCAAAGAAACAAAACUGAACUCAGGCAAAGAACUGCAAACUUAACAAACCAAAUGACUGCACAAAGAAAUAUAACUGACCUAAACAAACAUAACUGACCUAAACAUGAAAUGGCACAGAAGGGUAAAUAUAUUGUCUGAUCAGACCACUAUGACACACGAGGAGUUUUUCC